rnacentral:snoRNA from 1 species
UUGCCCAAUGAUUAUAGCAAGACGCGUUAUUAUGAGGACUAAUGCUGGAACUCUUUCUCCUCCUUCUCCUUCUUUGCCCCUUCCUCUUUCACCUUACCCGUCACUUUCCUUAGGGUAUCCAGCGUCCUAUGAGCAAGACUGAGAUAUGAGGGCAA